rnacentral:rRNA from 1 species
GACUCUAAGCGGUGGAUGACUUGGUUCUCGGUUCGAUGAAGAACGCAGUCAGCUGCGAGACUUAAUGUGAAUUGCAGGACACACUGAGCACUUGCUCUUUGAGCGCAUCGUUUAUUUUUGUGGUG